GCCGGCGUAGCUCAGUGGUAGAGCAACGGUUUCGUAAACCGUAGGUCGGAGGUUCAACCCCUCUCGCCGGCU
rnacentral:tRNA from 1 species